AUUGAACGCUGGCGGCAGGCCUAACACAUGCAAGUCGAGCGGAUGAAGGGAGCUUGCUCCCGGAUUCAGCGGCGGACGGGUGAGUAAUGCCUAGGAAUCUGCCUGGUAGUGGGGGAUAACGUCCGGAAACGGGCGCUAAUACCGCAUACGUCCUGAGGGAGAAAGUGGGGGAUCUUCGGACCUCACGCUAUCAGAUGAGCCUAGGUCGGAUUAGCUAGUUGGUGGGGUAAAGGCCUACCAAGGCGACGAUCCGUAACUGGUCUGAGAGGAUGAUCAGUCACACUGGAACUGAGACACGGUCCAGACUCCUAAGGGAGGCAGCAGUGGGGAAUAUUGGACAAUGGGCGAAAGCCUGAUCCAGCCAGGCCGCGUGUGUGAAGAAGGUCUUCGGAUUGUAAAGCACGUUAAGUUGGGAGGAAGGGCAGUAAGUUAAUACCUUGCUGUUUUGACGUUACCAACAGAAUAAGCACCGGCUAACUACGUG
rnacentral:rRNA from 1 species